rnacentral:lncRNA from 1 species
CGUAACGGACGGAGCGCGUGGAAAUCGGUGUCGCUCGUCUCGCGGCGAGACUCCGCUCGCGCCACAGCGCCGUUCGGCUGACUCGCGUCCCCCCUUUUUUCCUCCCCCCCUCCGGAAAAAAAAAAAAAAAAAAAACUGGGCGCAGGAGUCCCUUCGCCGGUUUACUCCUCGCCCGGGUACACCGUUUUGUGCGGUCGUUUCUCUUUUUUUGUUCGCACCAGUAGAAAAUGUCGCGUUCAAGUGUUUUCAGCCCUUUGUAUAGGAGGAGAGGUACGUGCUGCUCUCAGCAAGCAGCGCUCGCUCGGUCUUCUUCCCGUCGUCGUUCUGCGCGACCGUGUGUGUCUCGCUAACCCCCUGUUUUUCCCACAAUUAUCAGUCAAGGGCCCAAUAAAAUAAAUAGAAUGGCAGAAACGGACCUCUUUGCCAUAAUCCCUAUAUCCUGCACAGAUAUAUAACUAAAUUAUUUGAACGAAACGUAAACUGGCAUGUGUGUGGAUUGAACCGCGCUGCGGGCGCCUGCUCCAGCCACGCUGGCGUCCUCUGUGGCGGUCGGUGUACCAAAUCGAGUCCCCGGAUGCAGGGAGAAGUAGGGCCGAACGCAGAGCUUCAGCCUGUUCGGGGGCCGCCGAGAAGGAUGCAAAAGCUGCUGCUACCAACCAAUCAACUAGCACGUGAACGAUCAACAAUAACCUCGCGUAUGCAAAAUUAUAAACAUCAAUCUGAAGACAUGCUGUUCAGGUCACCUGUAGU